rnacentral:rRNA from 1 species
ACUCUGAUCCAGCCAUGCCGCGUGCAGGAAGACUGCCCUAUGGGUUGUAAACUGCUUUUAUACAGGAAGAAACCUCCUGACGUGUGGCGAGCUGACGGUACUCUACGAAUAAGGACCGGCUAACUCCGUGCCAGCAGCCGCGGUAAUACGGAGGGUCCAAGCGUUAUCCGGAAUCAUUGGGUUUAAAGGGUCCGUAGGCGGGUAUAUAAGUCAGAGGUGAAAGCCUGCGGCUCAACCGUAGAAUUGCCUUUGAUACUGGUUGUCUUGAAUUAUUGUGAAGUGGGUGGAAUGUGUAGUGUAGCGGUGAAAUGCAUAGAUAUUACAUAGAAUACCGAUUGCGAAGGCAGA